GACGAACGCUGGCGGCGUGCCUAAUGCAUGCAAGUCGAGCGGACCUCUUCGGAGGUCAGCGGCGGACGGGUGAGUAACACGUGGGCAACCUGCCUGUAAGACUGGGAUAACACCGGGAAACCGGUGCUAAUACCGGAUAAUCCUUUUCCUCACAUGAGGGGAAGCUGAAAGACGGUUUCGGCUGUCACUUACAGAUGGGCCCGCGGCGCAUUAGCUAGUUGGUGGGGUAACGGCCCACCAAGGCGACGAUGCGUAGCCGACCUGAGAGGGUGAUCGGCCACGCUGGGACUGAGCCACGGCCCAGACUCCUACGGGAGGCAGCAGUAGGGAAUCUUCCGCAAUGGACGAAAGUCUGACGGAGCAACGCCGCGUGAGCGAAGAAGGCCUUCGGGUCGUAAAGCUCUGUUGUCAGGGAAGAACACGUACCGGAGUAACUGCCGGUACCUUGACGGUACCUGACCAGAAAGCCACGGCUAACUACGUGCCAGCCGCCGCUGUAACAC
rnacentral:rRNA from 1 species